rnacentral:tmRNA from 1 species
GGGGGCGAAACGGAUUCGACAGGGAUGUGUAAGCUUUACGUUGCAUGCCGAGCUUUCUAUCUGCUCGUUAAACUGAUGGAAACUCAAUUAUAAUCGCCGACGAUUAUAACUACGCACUGGCAGCUUAGACUGCUGUGCCGUUCCCCCGGCCUUCGCCCGUAAGGCUGGAUCGGAGCGCCGACUAACGGGCUGGUUCCCUUGCAGCGUCUGCCUGUAAAAGAACGAGACUUAGCAGAAUAGCAUUAGCGGACCCUGGUUCCGGCGGGGCAAAUAACGCGAAGCUUAAAGCCCGGAACUAAGCAUGUAGAUACGAGAGGGGAGCAUUUUUGGACGCGGGUUCGACUCCCGCCGCCUCCACCA